UACGAAGGGGGCUAGCGUUGCUCGGAAUCACUGGGCGUAAAGGGCGCGUAGGCGGACUCUUAAGUCGGGGGUGAAAGCCAGGGCUCAACCCUGGAAUUGCCUUCGAUACUGAGAGUCUUGAGUUCGGAAGAGGUUGGUGGAACUGCGAGUGUAGAGGUGAAAUUCGUAGAUAUUCGCAAGAACACCAGUGGCGAAGGCGGCCGACUGGUCCGAUACUGACGCUGAGGCGCGAAAGCGUGGGGAGCAAACAGG
rnacentral:rRNA from 1 species